GAUGUCAACUAGUUGUCGGGUCUUAAUUGACUUGGUAACGCAGCUAACGCGUGAAGUUGACCGCCUGGGGAGUACGGUCGCAAGAUUAAAACUCAAAGGAAUUGACGGGGACCCGCACAAGCGGUGGAUGAUGUGGAUUAAUUCGAUGCAACGCGAAAAACCUUACCUACCCUUGACAUGGCAGGAAUCCUUGAGAGAUCAGGGAGUGCUCGAAAGAGAACCUGCACACAGGUGCUGCAUGGCUGUCGUCAGCUCGUGUCGUGAGAUGUUGGGUUAAGUCCCGCAACGAGCUCAACCCUUGUCAUUAGUUGCUACGAAAGGGCACUCUAAUGAGACUGCCGGUGACAAACCGGAGGAAGGUGGGGAUGACGUCAAGUCCUCAUGGCCCUUAUGGGUAGGGCUUCACACGUCAUACAAUGGUACAUACAGAGGGCCGCCAACCCGCGAGGGGGAGCUAAUCCCAGAAAGUGUAUCGUAGUCCGGAUUGGAGUCUGCAACUCGACUCCAUGAAGUUGGAAUCGCUAGUAAUCGCGGAUCAGCAUGUCGCGGUGAAUACGUUCCCGGGUCUUGUACACACCGCCCGUCACACCAUGGG
rnacentral:rRNA from 1 species